rnacentral:lncRNA from 1 species
UAUAAAACGCCAAUAAACCCCCAAAAAAUCCCAAAUAAAUCCCGAAUAAAUCCUCAAUAAAUCCCAUAUAAAUCCCCAAUAAACCCCCAAUAAAUCCCAAAUAAAUCCCAUAUAAACUCCCAAUAAAUCCCAUAUAAACUCCCAAUAAAUCCCCAAAAAUCCUAUAUAAAUCCCCAAAAAAUCCCCAAUAAAUCCCAUAUAAAUCCCAUAUAAAACCCCAAUAAACCCCCAAUAAAUCCCCAAUAAAUCCCAUAUGAAAUCCCCAAUAAAUCCCAUAUAAAUCCCCAAUAAAUCCCAUAUAAAACCCCAAUAAAUCCCAUAUAAAUCCCCAAUAAAUCCCAUACAAAUCCCAUAUAAAUCCCAUAUAAAUCCCAUAUAACUCCCCAACAAAUCCCCAAUAAAUUCCAUAUAAAUUCCCAAUAAAUCCCAUAUAAAUUCCCAAUAAAUCCCAUAUAAAAGCCCAAUAAAUGCCAUAUAAACCCCCAAUAAAUCCCAUAUAAAACCCCAAUAAAUCCCCAAAAUAUCCCAUAUAAACCCCCAAAAAUCCCCAAUAAAUCCCAUAUAAAAUCCCAUAUAAAUCCCAUAUAAAACCCCAAUAAAUCCCCAAUAAAUCUGCCAUAAAUCCCAUCUAAAUCCCAUAUAAAACCCCAAUAAAUCCCAUAUAAAUCCCCAAUAAAUCCCAUAUAAAAUCCAUAUAAAUCUCAUAUAAAACCCCAAUAAAUCCUGUAUAAAUCCCGUAUAAAAUCCAUAUAAACCUGCUCGGGGUUGCUGAGGUUCUCGGACUCCUCCAGGACGUUUUCCCCCACGAAGAUCUCGGGGUGGGCAAAGAGCAGCUCCAGCAGCUCCUCGAUGCAGCCCAGGCACUUCUGCCACAAUUCCGGCUGAAAAUAAAUAAAAAAAAAAUAUAAAUAAUCCUAAAUAAUGCUAAAUUUACUCCAUAAAUCAGCCCAGGCACUUCUGCCACAAUUCCGGCUGAAAAUAAAUCAAAAAAAAUAUAAAUAAUCA